UAGGGAAUCUUCCGCAAUGGACGCAAGUCUGACGGAGCAACGCCGCGUGAGUGAAGAAGGAUUUCGGUUCGUAAAACUCUGUUGUUAGAGAAGAACAGCGCAUAGAGUAACUGUUAUGCGUGUGACGGUAUCUAACCAGAAAGCCACGGCUAACUACGUGCCAGCAGCCGCGGUAAUACGUAGGUGGCAAGCGUUGUCCGGAUUUAUUGGGCGUAAAGCGAGCGCAGGCGGUCAAUUAAGUCUGAUGUGAAAGCCCCCGGCUCAACCGGGGUGAGUCAUUGGAGACUGGUUAACUUGAGUGCAGAAGAGGAGAGUGGAAAUCCACGUGUAGCGGUGAAAUGCGUCGAUAUAUGGAGGAACACAACUGGCGAAGGCCACUCUAUGGUCUGUAUCUGACGCUGAGGCUCGAAAGCGUGAGUAGCAAACAGG
rnacentral:rRNA from 1 species